AUUUUUUUAGUUUAAAUAAAACAUUUACUUUUCGUGUAAAAAAUACUCUAUAUGAGCUAAAAAAUU
rnacentral:tRNA from 1 species